rnacentral:rRNA from 1 species
ACGGGUGAGGAAUACAUCGGAAUCUACUUUUUCGUGGGGGAUAACGUAGGGAAACUUACGCUAAUACCGCAUACGACCUACGGGUGAAAGCAGGGGAUCUUCGGACCUUGCGCGAUUGAAUGAGCCGAUGUCGGAUUAGCUAGUUGGCGGGGUAAAGGCCCACCAAGGCGACGAUCCGUAGCUGGUCUGAGAGGAUGAUCAGCCACACUGGAACUGAGACACGGUCCAGACUCCUACGGGAGGCAGCAGUGGGGAAUAUUGGACAAUGGGCGCAAGCCUGAUCCAGCCAUACCGCGUGGGUGAAGAAGGCCUUCGGGUUGUAAAGCCCUUUUGUUGGGAAAGAAAUCCAGCUGGUUAAUACCCGGUUGGGAUGACGGUACCCAAAGAAUAAGCACCGGCUAACUUCGUGCCAGCAGCCGCGGUAAUACGAAGGGUGCAAGCGUUACUCGGAAUUACUGGGCGUAAAGCGUGCGUAGGUGGUCGUUUAAGUCUGUUGUGAAAGCCCUGGGCUCAACCUGGGAACUGCAGUGGAAACUGGACGACUAGAGUGUGGUAGAGGGUAGCGGAAUUCCUGGUGUA